rnacentral:rRNA from 1 species
GAUGAACGCUGGCGGCGUGCCUAAUACAUGCAAGUCGAGCGAACAGACGAGGAGCUUGCUCCUCUGACGUUAGCGGCGGACGGGUGAGUAACACGUGGAUAACCUACCUAUAAGACUGGGAUAACUUCGGGAAACCGGAGCUAAUACCGGAUAAUAUAUUGAACCGCAUGGUUCAAUAGUGAAAGACGGUUUUGCUGUCACUUAUAUAUGGAUCCGCGCCGCAUUAGCUAGUUGGUAAGGUAACGGCUUACCAAGGCAACGAUGCGUAGCCGACCUGAGAGGGUGAUCGGCCACACUGGAACUGAGACACGGUCCAGACUCCUACGGGAGGCAGCAGUAGGGUAUCUUCCGCAAUGGGCGAAAGCCUGACGGAGCAACGCCGCGUGAGUGAUGAAGGUCUUCGGAUCGUAAAACUCUGUUAUUAGGGAAGAACAAAUGUGUAAGUAACUAUGCACGUCUUGACGGUACCUAAUCAGAAAGCCACGGCUAACUACGUG